rnacentral:misc_RNA from 1 species
CAACCCUCAAGCCCACCCUUCCGGGUUUGGCAUUGGGGAUCGGCCCCGCUCCGGCGGCCGGCCCCGAAAACUAGUGGCGGUCACGCUGCAGCUUCCUCUGCGUAGUAGCAACACCUCGCACUGGGAUGUGGCGCGGCCAUGCCGUUAAAUGAAUUUUCUCAA